CCCUUAGAUGUUCUGGGCUGCACGCGCGCUACACUGAUGCACUCAACGAGUUUACAACCUUAUCCGGAAGGAUUGGGUAAUCUUUUGAACGUGCAUCGUGAUGGGGAUAGAUUAUUGCAAUUAUUAAUCUUCAACGAGGAAUUCCUAGUAAGCGCAAGUCAUCAGCUUGCGCUGAUUACGUCCCUGCCCUUUGUACACACCGCCCGUCGCACCUACCGAUUGAAUGGUCCGGUGAAAUCUCCGGACUGGCGUGAGUCGGAGCAAUCUGACAAACGCCGGAAAGUUGAUUAAACCUUACCAUUUAGAGGAAGGUGAAGUCGUAACA
rnacentral:rRNA from 1 species